rnacentral:ncRNA from 1 species
AUAUUCGCGAUGAUGAAGAAGAGUACGCGGACAGCGAGCCUCAAGAGAGCCGGCGGGUGGUGCAAGCCGGUGGCUGCGUUGGCGGAAGUGGGCUUCGGAGCGACCGGUCUGAACGUAAACCGCGAUUUUCGGCGGCGAUUAGUAGGACGGGCGGCGUGUCCCCACCGUUAACCGGGGCAGGGUAUCGAAGAGGAGCUUAAAGGGCUGCCGCUUCCGUACCUGAUGAGCAGGGCGGCCUUUUCCCAUGGAAAAGAGCGGCCAAACAAGGUGGCACCGCGAAGCUGACGGCUUCGUCCUUGGA